rnacentral:rRNA from 1 species
AGCGGCGGACGGGUGAGUAAUGUCUGGGAAACUGCCUGAUGGAGGGGGAUAACUACUGGAAACGGUAGCUAAUACCGCAUAACGUCGCAAGACCAAAGAGGGGGACCUUCGGGCCUCUUGCCAUCAGAUGUGCCCAGAUGGGAUUAGCUAGUAGGUGGGGUAACGGCUCACCUAGGCGACGAUCCCUAGCUGGUCUGAGAGGAUGACCAGCCACACUGGAACUGAGACACGGUCCAGACUCCUACGGGAGGCAGCAGUGGGGAAUAUUGCACAAUGGGCGCAAGCCUGAUGCAGCCAUGCCGCGUGUAUGAAGAAGGCCUUCGGGUUGUAAAGUACUUUCAGCGGGGAGGAAGGCGAUGAGGUUAAUAACCUCGUCGAUUGACGUUACCCGCAGAAGAAGCACCGGCUAACUCCGUGCCAGCAGCCGCGGUAAUACGGAGGGUGCAAGCGUUAAUCGGAAUUACUGGGCGUAAAGCGCACGCAGGCGGUCUGUCAAGUCGGAUGUGAAAUCCCCGGGCUCAACCUGGGAACUGCAUU